rnacentral:lncRNA from 1 species
CGCUCAGGCCACGCCCCUUCCUCUCCCGACCAAUCAGAAAUCACUUCCGCCGCUAAACCCCGACUAUUCCCUCAGCAGCCAAUCAGCGGCGCCUUCCCGUCGGGCGCUGCGUGGCCACGCCUCUCCCGUCAUUAACCAAUCAGCGCCCGGUCCGUCCCUGGCCACGCCCCCUUACCGGAAAUCGCCGCUUUUUGCCCCGAAUUUUCCCGCGCGUUUUGAACCAAUUCCGGCCUUUUUUAACCCAUUCCGGGCUCAGGUUUUGGAGCCUUUUCAGGCCCCUUCUGGAGCAUUUUUAGGACAUUUUUGGGGUUUUUUUUUUUCACCAUUUUUGGGUCUUUUUUCAGAACUUUUAGGGCUUUUUUUAAGUUUUUUUUCACCAUUUUUAAGGAGUUUUUUUCACCAUUUUUGACCAUUUUUGGGCGAUUUUAAACCAUUUUUGGGCUCCUUUCCGACUUUUAAUUUUUGCCAUUUUUGGGUCCUUUCUCUCAAUUUUUUGGGGGUCUUUUUUUUGGCCAUUUUUAGCGACCUUUUGGAUCAUUUUUGGCGUCUUUUUUUGGGCACAUUUUUGGGUCCUUUUUACCAUUUUAAGUGUCCUUUUGGGGACCUUUUUUAGCCCUUUUUGGGCUCCUUUUUUCGCUCCUUUCUCACCACUUUUAGGGCUCAUUUUACCCAUUUUUGUGCCUUUUUUACCCAUUUCUUGGCCUCCUUUUUGCCCAUUUUUUGCUCAUUUUUCACCCACUUUUACUCUCAUUUUUACCCAUUUUUACUCUCAUUUUUAAACUUUUUUUUUACCCAUUUUUCCCCCAUUUUACCCAAUUUUAAUCUCAUUUUUCACCCAUUUUUACUCUCAUUUUUUACCCAUUUUUGUGCCAUUUUCACCCAUUUUUACUCUCAUUUUUUUACCCAUUUUUGUGCCUUUUUCACCCAUUUUACUCUCAUUUUUUACCCAUUUUUGUGCCUUUUUCACCCAUUUUUACUCUCAUUUUUCCCCCCAUUUUCACUCUCAUUUUUCAACCAUUUCCGCCUCUUUUUAAUUCUUUUUUUUCACAACUUCCUCUCCCAUUUUUUACCACUUCCUCCCCUUUUUUUAACCCAAUUUUUUCUCCUUUUUUUAACCCAUUUUUCACCCAUUUUUUGCUCAUUUUUCACCCAUUUUUCCCCCCAUUUUCACUCUCAUUUUUCAACCAUUUCUGCCUCUUUUUAAUCCUUUCUUUCACAACUUCCUCUCCCAUUUUUUACCACUUCCUCCCCUUUUUUUAACCCAAUUUUUUCUCCUUUUUUUACCCAUUUUUUGCUCAUUUUUCACCCAUUUUUCACCCAUUUUUCACCCAUUUUUUUACCCAUUUUCCCCCCCCAUUUUCACCAUUUUCGCUCUCAUUUUUCAACCAUUUCCGCCUCUUUUUAAUCCUUUCCUUCACAACUUCCUCUCCCCUUUC